rnacentral:rRNA from 1 species
AGUGAACGCUGGCGGUAGGCCUAACACAUGCAAGUCGAACGGCAGCACAGUAAGAGCUUGCUCUUACGGGUGGCGAGUGGCGGACGGGUGAGGAAUACAUCGGAAUCUACUUUUUCGUGGGGGAUAACGUAGGGAAACUUACGCUAAUACCGCAUACGACCUACGGGUGAAAGCAGGGGAUCUUCGGACCUUGCGCGAUUGAAUGAGCCGAUGUCGGAUUAGCUAGUUGGCGGGGUAAAGGCCCACCAAGGCGACGAUCCGUAGCUGGUCUGAGAGGAUGAUCAGUCACACUGGAACUGAGACACGGUCCAGACUCCUACGGGAGGCAGCAGUGGGGAAUAUUGGACAAUGGGCGCAAGCCUGAUCCAGCCAUACCGCGCGGGUGAAGAAGGCCUUCGGGUUGUAAAGCCCUUUUGUUGGGAAAGAAAAGCAGCAGGUUAAUACCCCGCUGUUCUGACGGUACCCAAAGAAUAAGCACCGGCUAACUUCGUG